rnacentral:rRNA from 1 species
GCCCGCUCAGAAACUUAAGGAAUUGACGGGGCCCGCACAAGCGGAGGAGCAUGUGGUUUAAUUCGAUGAUACGCGAGGAACCUUACCUGGGCUCGAACGUAAGAUGACUGUAGGUGAAAGCUUACAUCUCUUCGGAGCAUUUUACGAGGUGCUGCAUGGUUGUCGUCAGCUCGUGCCGUGAGGUGUCGGGUUAAGUCCCAUAACGAGCGCAACCCCUACCUUUAGUUGCCAUCAGGUAAUGCUGGGGACUCUAAAGGAACUGCCUACGCAAGUAGUGAGGAAGGCGGGGAUGACGUCAAAUCAGCACGGCCCUUACGUCCAGGGCUACACACGUGCUACAAUGGCCGAUACAGAGGGCAGCUACCUGGUGACAGGAUGCAAAUCUCCAAAGUCGGUCUCAGUUCGGAUCGGAGUCUGCAACCCGACUCCGUGAAGUUGGAUUCGCUAGUAAUCGCGCAUCAGCCAUGGCGCGGUGAAUACGUUCCCGGGCCUU